CACCAGAUCCAAGUCCUCCUCCCAAAACAUCUCGUCUUACGGUUCUGAAGCUGAAGAUCUCGACUACGCUGCCACUGAAAGACAAGGAUGAAAUCGAGAAGGCGAUUAAAGGUAAGCUGGUUGCAGGAGGGCUGCCUGCAGACAUAAAGGUCCGUCUGCUCAGCUUCGGUCCAGCUAAUAAAACCGCUGCCCCCUAGUGGCCAAAUAUGAGAAUGAA